rnacentral:rRNA from 1 species
UACAGAGGGGGCAAGCGUUAUUCGGAAUUAUUGGGCGUAAAGGGCGCGUAGGCGGCCUGGCAAGUGACGGGUGAAAGCCCUCGGCUCAACCGAGGAACUGCCUGUCAUACUGCCGGGCUUGAGUCCGGGAGAGGUGAGUGGAAUUCCCAGUGUAGCGGUGAAAUGCGCAGAUAUCAGGAAGAACACCCGUGGCGAAGGCGGCUUUCUAGGCCUUACCUGACGCUGAGACGCGAAAGCGUGGGGAGCGAACCGG